rnacentral:rRNA from 1 species
GCUUGUCUCAAAGAUUAAGCCAUGCAUGUCUAAGUAUAAACGACUUUAUACAGUGAAACUGCGAAUGGCUCAUUAAAUCAGUUAUAGUUUAUUUGAUAAUACCUUACUACUUGGAUAACCGUGGUAAUUCUAGAGCUAAUACAUGCUACACAACCCGACUUCUGGAAGGGUGGUACUGAUUAGAUAAAAAUCAACUUUGUUGGUGAAUCAUAAUAACUUCUCGGACCGCAUGGCCUCGUGCUGGCGGUGCUUCAUUCAAAUAUCUGCCCUAUCAACUGUCGAUGGUAGGAUAGAGGCCUACCAUGGUUGCAACGGGUAACGGGGAAUAAGGGUUCGAUUCCGGAGAGGGAGCCUGAGAAACGGCUACCACAUCCAAGGAAGGCAGCAGG